rnacentral:rRNA from 1 species
GUGGGGAAUUUUGCGCAAUGGGGGAAACCCUGACGCAGCGACGCCGCGUGAAGGAAGAAGGCCUUCGGGUUGUAAACUUCUUUUGUAGGGGAAAAGAGAGGAUGGUACCCUACGAAUAAGCCACGGCUAACUCUGUGCCAGCAGCCGCGGUAAGACAGAGGUGGCAAGCGUUGUUCGGAAUUACUGGGCUUAAAGGGCGCGUAGGCGGUUAUGCAAGUCUGUUGUGGAAGGCUGGGGCUCAACCCCAGGAGAGCAAUGGAAACUGCAUAACUUGAGUGAGUGAGGGGAGGGCGGAAUUCCCGGUGUAGCGGUGAAAUGCGUAGAUAUCGGGAGGAAGGCCGGUGGCGAAGGCGGCCCUCUGGCACUCAACUGACGCUGAGGCGCGAAAGCGUGGGGAGCAAACAGGAUUAGAAACCCGGGUAGUC